GGGAGGUGGAAGUGAAAGUGGAAUUGAAUUUGGCAGGCAUGUAUUUUCCUAUGGACCGUGCUCAAUUCUUCUAAUCAUAGUUAUUAUGAAUGUUCCUUUCCAAUUUAUUCCUCAUGUCACUUUGUGCUUCGUGUUCUCCCCACCAUCUGCUAGUUGAAGGGCCAACCAAUUGCGGACAUUUGAUGAAGGUUAGAAUUAUCUGAAGUGUGCAAGGACCUCGGUCAUAAUCAUGUUAUUUUCCAAAUGCAAAUGUAUGAGUGUAUCACGGAACAUUCUCUGGGCCUUCAGCAAACCAGGAAUAAUCCCUAAAUCCCUUUCCAGUCAAACCUGAAAUUCAUCCUACCUGUCUCUUGAAGAAAGGGAGUAUACCAACCACUGGAGUGUUGUCUAGCUGCUUUUUGCCUCCCUCAGCCCUAAGAAGAGGGACCCAAGAUGCUCUUGGCACCCACAUGUGAGA
ensembl:lncRNA